rnacentral:lncRNA from 1 species
UUACUGAGAUUUUUCAACAGCUUAGAAGGAUAUUGAACAUAAAAGCAGAGAAAAGAACAAGGACCUUAUUGUUGACAAUUAGAAUCUCCUGGGUGAAUCCUACAGGUGAUUCAAAGCAAUAGUUCACACAAAAGAAAUGUAUUUUCCACAUGGCACCAAAAUAUGCUUAAUAUUUUUAUGGAUUUUCAGUUACCCUAGACACAGAUAAUCAAUGGACAUGCCACUGUAGCCCUAUUUAAAUUAAUAGCAACAUCUCUGGAAUUAGUUUUUCUGCAGGUACCCUAUACCAUAUUGUUUUUGUUUAACAUUUGUUUAUUGGAUGCCUCCAUAAAAACACUCAGCAACUUUUACCCUUUACGUGCAGAUGAAAUUAGCUCCUUGGAACAGAGAGUGGCAUCAACAGCAGUGCUUCUGGGGUGAGCAUGGAGUAAGUUUGAAUUGUUUCUAUAACCAAUUUGCUCAGCUCAGGCUGCUAUUACAGAACAGCAUUGAGUGGGUGGCUUCAACAACAGACAGGUAUUUCUCACUGUUCUGGAGGCUGAGAAGUCCAACAUCCAGUUGCAAGGCAGAUUUGGUUCUGACAGGGACUCUUUCCUGGCUUGCAGAUGAUCACCUUCUCAUAGUGGAAAGAGAAAGAAGAAACAAAUUCUCUGCCAUCUCUUCUUAUCAAGGUAUUAAUCCUGUAGGGAAUUCCUCACCCUCAUGAUCUCGUCCAAACUCAAUACCUCCCAAAGGCCCCAUCUCCACAUUUCAUCACAGUGGGGAGGAGGGCUUCAGCAUCUAAAUUUUUGGGGGAAAUGCAGUUCAGACCAUAACAACUGGUAACUAACACUAGGUUAUCAUAUCACAGAACAAAUUUGCACAUAUUUUUCUUGGAGUGAAAACAUGGGCUAGGGAUUAAAAGAGGAUAUUCAGUUGUAUCCUACAAGAUUUAUUUAUUUCCAGAAUCUUCAGCUCUUUCCUUGACACUGUAUGUCUUUCGCUUUUUUGUUUUAGACCAUGGGAUGGUUAUAAAAUUGUUUUAACAUUUUCUUCUGAACAAUGAUUAAGGAAACUCCCUGUGUAAGAAAGAAUAUGAAUGUGAAGAAUAUUGCUCUAUUGCAUGGAAAAACUUCAUUCUACAUAGCUCAGUGGCUGAACGUCUGAAAAAUAGGUGUCUUUUACACCCCUUCCCCUUUCUUGAUAGCAAUUUAUAUCUCUCAUCUCUUUCUAAGCACAUCUUUUCUCAGAAGCCUUUAAUGAUACCUGCCAAUUCUUCACUCUUCUAGGCUGGAAUACAUACUCUUUAGUUUUAUGGCUUUAAUACAUCUUUUUUUCCUUUCCUUAAAUCAUGAUUGACAGUAUAAUCCAACUUUUUGGAAUCCCUUCAAAGCACUCACUAUUUUACAUCUAAGAAGGACUCUUGGGGUGGAUGUCAUUGAGCCCAUCUUAAUGUGCCUGUCAGGGUGGUGAUACUCUAGGCCUAGGAUUGAGUUGAAGCCUACUUAUUCAGCUUGCUUCAAUAAUCCAGCAGGAAAGGUAAGUUAAGACAGGUCUAUCCUAAAUACUCAUGAUUAUAUGGAGGGAGCUUUGUUUCUAGCAGCCCAAGUCCAAGCUUUCUUUAUGUGCUUGUCUUCAUCAAAACUUUUUUUUUUUUUUUAAAGAACUCGUCUCACUAAAGCAUCUAUAAACCAUUGGUCACCGGGCUCACAUCAUUCUUUGAAUUUCUGAUCUAUUUACAGAGCCUAGAUUUCUACAACAUGUUCUUUCCUGUAGAGCCUCUAAAUAUGAUAGUCCUUCUGUCUGGAAUGCUAUUUCCAAGUCCUCUUUAUGGGGUCCUUCAGAUAUUAAAUUUCUACUUAAUGAUUUACCACAUCCAGACAGGUCUUCCUUCACUGUCCUAGUCAAUGAAUAUUUCUCCUCAUGAUUCUCUAUCCCAGUACCUUUUCACCCUAUGACACUCAUACACAUUUGUUAUCACUCAUUUUUCAGUUUUUUUUUUUUUUUUCCUGUAUGUCCGCCCACCUUAAUUGUUUUAGUCCCCACUCCAUUUCUGGCACAGAGUAGUUGCUUGAUACACUUUGCUCUAGAAACACAUGAAUGAAUGACUAAUUUCUGAGCAUGCACCGCCUUUACUCAUCCAUUUAGUCCUAUCUAGCACUGAACCUCAGAAGAAUAAAAUUAAAUUUGGAAUUAUAAAUGGAUAUUAUCUAUUCUGACACCCUUGUGAGUUACAAUAAAAGUAAUAGUAAUGAGGAUGAGGAUGAAUAUUAAUGGAGUGUUUGCUGUGUGCCAUUAUGUGCUAUAUAGAUUAUCCAGUCUUCAUUAAUAUUUUAAUAGGGAAAAAAAAAAAAAGGAUACAGAGACGAUGCUUUCAAAGCUUAAGCUUCAGGGUCCUCAGUUGCACGGCCUCCUUCUAAGAGUCAGGUUGGGGUCUGAGCUACACACUUAUUUUUAUUAUUUUGUAUGUGUACUUUUUCAUAAAGAGACAUCUUUCCCACAAUUCUGGAAUCUUCAGGCCCUAUAGUACCUGAAUCUUUUCUGGAAACUUGGAAAGAUACUUAAAAUUCCAAUUUGAUGAGUAAAGAAACUGAAAGAUAACUCAAGUUAAAAAGAACUAGGAGCAGAUGCAAAGGGGUUCUGAACCCUGCCCAUAUAACUCUAGAACUUAUCUUUUUAACCGUGAUACUGGAUGGAAGCCAGCAAGUAAAAACACAUUAGUAAAACAUAGGCCUAUGAAUACAUGGCUAAUAUUUCCACUAAGAUAUUCUUUAAAAAACAAAAGAGCUUAGUUUUACAGCGGAGUGAAUUUGAAAUACAUGGAAUCAAGGAUGGGUACCCCCUCUUUAUAUCAGCCCUUUAUUGGCCUCAAUUUCCUUGAGCCUCUUGCUCAGAACUUUGACAUGUGGUGUUAAAAUUUGCCCUCAUUUUAUUUAACACCAAGUCAGCUGUUUGGUGAUUUUCAUAAGCUCCAGAAAAGGGCAUAUAUCUUUGCUUACCAUGGCCUUAUUCUUCAAUCUCAUCGAUUCAAUAUAAAUCAAGGUAGCAAUAUCAUAUGCCAAUAUUCUGUUGUGUAUCAGCCUUGAUAUGUUGAUCAUUUGUUGCAAUAUAGGAAGAAAUGAAGACAGAAAAAAGAAGUAAAUCAAAACCUGUAUUGCAAGCUAUCCUUCCGAGUAUAUUUUACUUUAAAAAAUUGUUUUAAUUGAAGUAUAGUUGAUUCACAAUAUUGUGUUAGUUUCAGGUGUUGCCAGGAGUAACAUGGAGAUAAUAAUAGCCAUGCCUAUCUACCUAAUCAGUUGCUUUUAGAUCAAUGACAUCAUAGUUUUCAAGGCAUUUUGGAAUUAGAAGUGUAAUAUGAAUCUGAGAAUCAUUAUAUCACUUGUAAAUGGUUGAAAGCUCUUGAGAAAUAAUAUCUUUCUUAAGACAGUAGGUAUUGACUAUAGGAAAUGAGCUUACCUGGGUACCCAGAUGAUUUUGAAAAGGUGUUUGUAAA